rnacentral:rRNA from 1 species
UGGUGGAGUGAUUUGUCUGGUUAAUUCCGUUAACGAACGAGACCUUAACCUAUUAAAUAGUUACUCGUAACCUCGGUUACGAGGGCAACUUCUUAGAGGGACUUUGUGUGUCAAACGCAAGGAAGUUUGAGGCAAUAACA